rfam:Clostridium ventriculi strain 2789STDY5834858 genome assembly, contig: SCcontig000005
CGAGUAAGCCAGAUAAUCGCUGCUAACUUAAGUUAGGAGAGGAAAGUCCGAGCUCCAUAGGGCAGGGUGCUGGAUAACGUCCAGUGAAGGCGACUUUAAGGAUAGUGCAACAGAGAUAUACCGCCUAAAUUUUUUAGGUAAGGGUGGAAAGGUGAGGUAAGAGCUCACCAGCAUAUAGGUGACUAUAUGGCUAUGUAAACCCCACCUGGAGCAAGGCUAAAUAGAAGGACAUAUAGGGAUUGCCCGUCCCGUCCUCGGGUAUGCCGCUUGAGCCUAAUGGUAACGUUAGGCCUAGAUAGAUGAUUAUCAAAUACAGAACUCGGCUUAUAGACUUGUCUCGUAUA